rnacentral:rRNA from 1 species
ACGCUGGCGGCGUGCCUAAUACAUGCAAGUAGAACGCUGAAGCUUGGUGCUUGCACCGAGCGGAGGAGUUGCGAACGGGUGAGUAACGCGUAGGUAACCUGCCUCUUAGCGGGGGAUAACUAUUGGAAACGAUAGCUAAUACCGCAUAAAAGUCGACAUUGCAUGAUGUUGACUUGAAAGGUGCAACUGCAUCACUAAGAGAUGGACCUGCGUUGUAUUAGCUAGUUGGUGAGGUAACGGCUCACCAAGGCGACGAUACAUAGCCGACCUGAGAGGGUGAUCGGCCACACUGGGACUGAGACACGGCCCAGACUCCUACGGGAGGCAGCAGUAGGGAAUCUUCGGCAAUGGACGGAAGUCUGACCGAGCAACGCCGCGUGAGUGAAGAAGGUUUUCGGAUCGUAAAGCUCUGUUGUAAGAGAAGAACGAGUGUGAGAGUGGAAAGUUCACACUGUGACGGUAACUUACCAGAAAGGGACGGCUAACUACGUGCCAGCAGCCGCGGUAAUAUGUAGGUCCCGAGCGUUAUCCGGAUUUAUUGGGCGUAAAGCGAGCGCAGGCGGUUAGAUAAGUCUGAAGUUAAAGGCUGUGGCUUAAUCAUAGUACGCUUUGGAAACUGUUUAACUUGAGUGCAGAAGGGGAGAGUGGAAUUCCAUGUGUAGCGGUGAAAUGCGUAGAUAUAUGGAGGAACACCGGUGGCGAAAGCGGCUCUCUGGUCUGUAACUGACGCUGAGGCUCGAAAGCGUGGGGAGCAAACAGGAUUAGAUACCCUGGUAGUCCACGCCGUAAACGAUGAGUGCUAGGUGUUGGGUCCUUUCCGGGACUCAGUGCCGCAGCUAACGCAUUAAGCACUCCGCCUGGGGAGUACGACCGCAAGGUUGAAACUCAAAGGAAUUGACGGGGGCCCGCA